rnacentral:rRNA from 1 species
CCUGGCGGCGAGUGGCGAACGGGUGAGUAAUAUAUCGGAACGUACCCUGGAGUGGGGGAUAACGUAGCGAAAGUUACGCUAAUACCGCAUACGAUCUAAGGAUGAAAGUGGGGGAUCGCAAGACCUCAUGCUCCUGGAGCGGCCGAUAUCUGAUUAGCUAGUUGGUAGGGUAAAAGCCUACCAAGGCAUCGAUCAGUAGCUGGUCUGAGAGGACGACCAGCCACACUGGAACUGAGACACGGUCCAGACUCCUACGGGAGGCAGCAGUGGGGAAUUUUGGACAAUGGGCGCAAGCCUGAUCCAGCAAUGCCGCGUGAGUGAAGAAGGCCUUCGGGUUGUAAAGCUCUUUUGUCAGGGAAGAAACGGAUUUUUCUAAUACAGAGAUCUAAUGACGGUACCUGAAGAAUAAGCACCGGCUAACUACGUGCCAGCAGCCGCGGUAAUACGUAGGGUGCAAGCGUUAAUCGGAAUUACUGGGCGUAAAGCGUGCGCAGGCGGUUUUGUAAGACUGUCGUGAAAUCCCCGGGCUCAACCUGGGAAUGGCGAUGGUGACUGCAAGGGCUAGAGUUUGGCAGAGGGGGGUAGAAUUCCACGGUGUAGCAGUGAAAUGCGUAGAUAUGUGGAGGAACACCGAUGGCGAAGGCAGCCCCCUGGGUCAAAACUGACGCUCAUGCACGAAAGCGUGGGGAGCAAACAGGAUUAGAUACCCUGGUAGUCCACGCCCUAAACGAUGUCUACUAGUUUGUCGGGUUUUAAUUAACUUGGUAACGCAGCUAACGCGUGAAGUAGACCGCCUGGGGGAGUACGGUCGCAAGAUUAAAACUCAAAGGAAUUGACGGGGACCCGCACAAGCGGU